rnacentral:rRNA from 1 species
UACGAAGGGGGCUAGCGUUGUCCGGAAUCACUGGGCGUAAAGGGCGCGUAGGUGGCGCGACAAGUCAACGGUGAAAGCUCGGCGCUCAACGCCGAGUCGGCCGUCGAUACUGUUGGGCUUGAGCACUGUAGAGGCUAAUGGAAUUCCGGGUGUAGCGGUGGAAUGCGUAGAGAUCCGGAAGAACACCGGUGGCGAAGGCGGUUAGCUGGGCAGUUGCUGACACUGAGGCGCGACGAGCGUGGGGAGCAAACAGGG